AUUGAACGCUGGCGGCAGGCCUAACACAUGCAAGUCGAGCGGUGCGGCGGACGGGUGAGUAAUGCCUAGGAAUCUGCCUGGUAUUGGGGGAUAACGUCCGGAAACGGGCGCUAAUACCGCAUACUCUCAGAUGAGCCUAGGUCGGAUUAGCUAGUUGGUGUGGUAAAGGCCGACCAAGGAGACGAUCCGUCACUGGUCUGAGAGGAUGAUCAGUCACACUGGAAUGGAGACACGGUCCAGAGUCCUACGGGAGGCAGCAGGGGGGAAUAUGGGACAAGGGGCGCAAGCCUGAUCCAGCCAUGCCGAGUGUGUGAAGAAGGUCUGCGGAUUGUAAAGCACUUUAAGUUGGGAGGCGUUACCAACAGAAUAAGCACCGACUAACAUCGUGCCAGCAGCCGCGGUAAUUC
rnacentral:rRNA from 1 species